rnacentral:lncRNA from 1 species
CGGAGAGUGUGGGAGGCUCCCGGGGCUGGAACACGGGCAGCCUGGAAGGGGCAUCCACUGUCUUGUGCAGAAUAAGUGUCUCUCCAGGAGAUGCUAGCUGGAUCUCCAGUCCUGGCACGGAUGGGAGAAGAGAUAGUUAUUUCUAGCUGAGCAGCCCAAGCCUGCAAGAGCGAGAAAGAAAACUAACAGUCUGGAGAUGGACUCGGAAAGAGGCCGUGUGCUGACAGCUGGAGAUCCUGACAGAGGUCUGCUACAGUUCUGUGGUGUCCAUGUCUCUCCAGGCCUAUUACCCUAGGACAAAUUAGGCCUAAUGUUGCAUAGAAGAGGAGCUGAACAAGAAGGUGUCUCCUGGAUGACUCUUGAUUCGAGGCUGAUGCCAGUGGGGAAAAGCUCACCUCCCUUAAGUGUGGACCAGUCAAGACCAAGAGCUGCUGGGUGGAGGUGAACGAAGAACAGACCUAGGACCUUGGCCAUGACCUGGACCCUUGGUGCCCUUCCUGGCCCCUCGCUCCAGAGGGACUCAGGGCUAGGUAGCACCUGAUGCAGAUCUCCUGGGCAGAGAUUGUGACCAUGUAGCUCCCCUUUCAAGGACUUUGAGAGUCCUAGGAACAGCUUCCUGCGCUCAUGCUGUGUUCUUGACUUAUUUUCCUGAAGUAGGGGCAAGACCAUGUGUACAGCCCACUGAAUUAGAUAUAGACUGGUUUAGUGAGGGGAUCAAGACACGUCUACACCAUUCCUGUCUCUUCGGUGCAUGAUGGAUAGGAUACUUGUUCUUGAACACAGGCAUUAUGAGUAUUCAGGGUGUGCAAUGUGCCGAACUGCAGCCACAACUGCCUCCACCCCAACCCGAAGCUUCAACAAAAGAGCCCAGUACCAACAAAAAACACUCAGGUUCAUAUAACAGGACUCCAUUUUUGUUUCUGAUGCUCUGAGGGCCAACGUACUGUGACCUUGAAAUGCAUUGCUGGGUCUGAGUACUUUUGCAGGUCUCUAGCCCCCUUGGCAAGGAGAAGUGAACAGCAGCACCUUCCUACUGGUCCUUGGUGCUUUCGUGGGUGCUCUGCAUCUGUAGUCACCAGGGCUUGGGGGAGGGAACAGGAAGAACUCACAAACUAGGCUAAGAAGGGAUGAGAGCCUUGUAUUUGGUUAGAGCAUAAGAAAGUGGUUAGCAUUAGCACUCAGAAGGAGUCCUCAGCCUCCAUCACUACUGAGUUCCCAGCCUCUCUUCCUUGACUAAAAGGAACAGUUGUCCUGCCUCAAGGUCUAUCCCAGCACUGAUUGUCCUUCUUAUUGUUCAUCCCCAGCUCUGACCCUUCCUACACUGUUGGCAUCUUGCUUCAGCAACCCUUGGGAUAUGAUGUAGGGAGCAGCCCCUAACCCCUCACUGGCUCUGCAUGCGUGAAGCAGGACACCAGGAGCUUACCUCAUGGUCCUCACUUACACCAUGAUGAAGGGAACGGGAUCACAUUGAAGGGGGAGCUGUCUUAGUGAGACAUUUGAACAACGUGGCCAGUCAUUAGGCAUUCCAAAAGCCUGGUAAAGGGCAGGCUGCCUCUCCACAGGGCACUGGGGUGAGUGUCAAGUAGACCUUGGAGUUUCAUGAAAUAGCAGGGAAAGAGACUUUAAAGUGAUCAACAGUCACUGCUAUCAUGGCCAUCUCCCUAAUCUCUGUAAGUCCUGAAGGUAAAUUUUAAGGACCACACAGGUCUGCUAUCCACAUGAGGCAUGGAUACUUACAUAGCAAACCUCAGUUAGAAGUAAAUGAUAGCAACAAGUCAGAGCUGGCCCCGGGACAGCAAAGGCCUGAGUGCAUCUCUGUUCUGGGCCCUCAGCCUCCACUGCACAUAUAGACCAAUGUCCACAACCACAAGAUCCUAUCCCUCUAGUGUGUCCAGAACUGAGGCCUGGGAUGCUUGGACACUGGACUGGACGUGUCACAGGUAAAGCAGCAUCCUAUGUCACCCCAGGGAUAGGAGCUGAAUUUAUUUUGGACAGAUAGACCACAGAAGAAGUCCUCAUGGUUGCAUCCAUACCUGCUUAGCAGUGUACCUCAGCAGUGUGCUUUCCCACCACUGUAGCUGUGAGCAUCAUGAAAGAGGUCAACUGAACACGAGAUGCGGCUCAUUACACCAUGGACUUGCAUUGGUGAUACUGAAGCAUUCUGUGACUUGAGGUACCACUAAGAAGAACAAAAGCCUGAUGGUAGACUCUAGGAUGCCAUGGUCACCAAAGCAUGUUUUGACCUCAGCUCUGCUGCCAUGGGAACUGAUGUGGCCAUCACCAGGGGAGCGAACGCCUACAGCGCAUAGUCAUCUGAGGGGCUGUGAAGAAGACCAGCCAAUCUGCUUCAUGUGACUCCUAAAGCCAGGAACAGGAUUAGUGGUGUGGGUUUUGGGGCCACAGCAGCUCAAGGGAGCAAACUCUAUAGGAUCCAUUACGGUGGGCUUAUAAAUGAGCCCCAGAAUGCUGACAUUAGGCUCAGUACGGUCCAAAGAAUUACCCCUUCUUCAUCUAUAGAGAUGACCUACACUAAGGCAGGCAGGUAGAGCAGCUGCCUGCAAAGUCCUACUCAGCUUCAAGUCCCCCAGCUGAGAACUGAAAAGGGAGCUGCCCUGGGCAUCCUUUGUCCUGUUCCUGCCUGGUAAUUGACAUAGUGAAUGGUCGCUAAUGAAGAACGGAGUGGGACUUCCUGGGAAGUGACUGCAGACAGCCAGAAAGACAACUGCUAAUUACCAGUGCCAGCUGGUGGCCCUGGAGGACCAUGCAGACAGAAAAGAUGAGGGCUGGGAGGACCAGGCAGAGAGAAACUUCAGGAAAGCUGCUUUUGCUAGGGCCCUCUGCACCCAAGCACUGACUUACUCCAUGGAUGACGAAUCAAGAGGUCAAGACCAACACCAGCCAUGCUCUCUUUCCUGGUCAAGCCCGAGGAGGAGGUAUUAAACCACCAUCAUAAAUCUGCUAGUGUCCUCCAACUGACCUUGGCUGUUAGACUGGGCAGGCUUUCUUCAGUCUCAGACCCCAGCACUGAUUGCCCUUUCUGUUGCUCAUCCCCAGCUCUGACCCUGCCUGCACUGUUGGCAUUUUGAUUCAGCAACCCCUGGGAUAUGAUGUAGGGAGCAGCCCCUAACCCCUCACUGGCUCUGCGUGCGUGAAGCAGGACACCAGGAGCUUACCCCAUGGUCCUCACUUACACCAUGAUGAAGGGAACGGGAUCACGUUGAAGGGGGAGCUGUCUUAGUGAGACAUGUGAACAACGUGGCCAGUCGUUAGGCAUUCCAAAAGCCUGGUAAAGGGCAGACUGCCUCUCUGCGGGGCACUGGAGUGAAUGUCUGGUAGCUGCCUUCUUGGGUGUUUCUGCCUCAUAACUCAUCCUCCUGUAGUCUGGCGCGGUCUCUCCCCACACUGAGCAGGUCUCAGUUUCUCACACACCUGGUGCCCCGAGCGUCACACCUGUUCUUCCUCAGAUCUGUCUCCUCAUGAAUCCCUCCUCUCCCUCACCUCUGGGUCACACUGUGGGGUGUGGUCCUUCAGGGUCAAGGCCCCUGAUGGAUUGGGAUUCUGACCAGACAUACCUCUCCUAGCUACACUUGUUGUGAGCGACCCAGGACCUCCUUUCUUUCUUCCGUCUUUCCCCUCCUUCAUCUGGGCCCUGCCACUCACAGGGGUGAGCUGCUGGAGGGCAGGGAAGACUUCCGUUGUCAGAGUGGCUUGCCUGAAUCCCAGCUGCCCCUUAAUCUUAAAGAUGCUGAAAUCCUCGGCUGAAAUGGUAGCAGGAGAGCUCUGAGACUAACUCCCUUUCGCCUAUAUUGUGUGCUGGGACCAUACAAACUGACAGGUAGUAGAGCUUUGGUGGUUGGCAGUACUGGAGGCAAACAACCUACAACCCAGGGGUGGGCAGCUGGCUCUGCCUGCUGGUACUCCCUGCCCCCUUGGUAGUCUCUGCCCUGUUCCCACACAGACUUCUUGCAUGUAUCUCUCUCCAUCCUUCUUCUUUAUAGGAGAACACUAGCCAUGUGUUAAGGACUCCUUAACCCCGUGUGGCCCCACCUUAGCUAAUCUCACAGACUCUCUGUCAUACACGUUCUGGAUGUGUCUGGUGAAGGAUGCAUGCAGCCCAGCGUCCACCAUGAUGGCCUCUUAGAAUCUCAAGGUGAAGGCAUGGAACCUUCUUAUGGAAGAGAUGGGAAAUGGCUGUUCCUCCUUUUCCUUUAGAUCUUGCCCUGUGACCUGAGCCGCUUUCUCCCUGAUCCCCAUGGCUAGAUAGAUGCUGUCCUCACAGCAGAAGCCUGCUCUGCCCACCAGAGUCUAAGCAUCUGAGACACUGGAUCCUCUCCUUACCUGCAGAGAGGAGAAUGGAGCAGAAUCAAGACCCCUGAAGCCAGCACAUUCUGUGUGGCAGCUAGCCUUCCCCCCAUAAGCACGAGCAGGGCUCUGAUCCCAGAGAGACAUCACCCAUGUGCAUGUCUGCACACAUGCACACACGGUGCUCCGUGUAGCCCCGCGCUGAGUCUUCCUGCUUCGCCUCUGAGGCAGCUGAAGACUGAGGAAAGGAAAUGAGAUGGGGAAUCGCUUCUCGGGCAAUUACCCACACCUCGUAUAGUCUAAUGAGCCGUUGAGGGGCCCGGAUGGAACAUUUAGGGGGGUUAUUGAAUGUUUCCUCACAGUUUACCCAGUUCCAGGAGUUAAUUGAUUUAUGGACUGCAGGAGCAUGCGUGUCUCCGAAUAUGAGUGGGUGCCUUUUGGAUCUCUCUCUCUCUCUCUCUCUCUCUCUCUCCCUCCCCCCCCCCUCUCUCUCUCUCUCUCUCUCUCUGUGUGUGUGUGUGUGUGUGUGUGUGUGUGUGUGUGUGUGUGUGAAUUCGGGGCAUUCUGGCUAGAGGCCUGAGCUCCCUAGCUUUGGCAUCAGGCCUCCACAGCAUCUGCCUGCAUUUGCUGAGGAGAGGCCACGGAGGACGUGGCUGCACACCAAGGCAUGGGUCUGCAACCAUGCAUGCUCUCGGGACCAGGAUUCCCCUUACUGUUCCCAAAAUCCAGUUCAUCUUACCCACUCAGAUUUGUGCUAUACCUAGCACGAUAUUUUUAACUAACCUUACAUUUUUUUCUUUCAUUAGUUGUUUUAAAGCUACUACAAAAUGCUAUUGUGAAAUUGUUAUGUUUGAUAUGAUUGCUGCUCUCUUUUUCCCUUUCUUUCUGUUGAAAACAUUAUAUUUAAGUGCGUGUGGGGGGGGGGGAAGAGAGCUAGAGAGAGAGAGCUAGAGAGAGAGAGAGAGGGAGAGGGAGAGAGAGAUCAGAGACAACUUGGGAGAGUUGCUUUUCUCCUUCCACCAUGUAGGUUCCAAGGAUGGAAGUCAGCGCUUCAGUCUUGUAGCAAGUGCUCUUAGCAGCUGAGCUCUCUUAUCACCCUGCGUUCUUUUCCUGUUUGUUUUGAGACAGGAUCUCUCUUUGUUGCCCAGGCUGUCCUUCCUUUGUUGCCCAAUGGCUUCCUCUACAUUUUCCUAAUAAACAUUAAAAUAAUCCUGCAACUGGUCACUUCAAUAUGUUCUUAUAACCUACUCAUUGGUCACAUGGCAUAGCCUCCUCCAAGAGCCUGGACA